UACGAAGGGUGCAAGCGUUAAUCGGAAUUACUGGGCGUAAAGCGUGCGUAGGCGGUUUGUUAAGUCUGAUGUGAAAGCCCUGGGCUCAACCUGGGAACUGCAUUGGAUACUGGCAAGCUAGAGUACGGUAGAGGAAGGUGGAAUUCCCGGUGUAGCGGUGAAAUGCGUAGAGAUCGGGAGGAACAUCUGUGGCGAAGGCGACCUUCUGGACCAGUACUGACGCUGAGGCACGAAAGCGUGGGGAGCAAACAGG
rnacentral:rRNA from 1 species